rnacentral:rRNA from 2 species
UACGGAGGGUGCGAGCGUUAAUCGGAAUUACUGGGCGUAAAGCGCAUGCAGGUGGUUUGUUAAGUCAGAUGUGAAAGCCCGGGGCUCAACCUCGGAAUUGCAUUUGAAACUGGCAGGCUAGAGUACUGUAGAGGGGGGUAGAAUUUCAGGUGUAGCGGUGAAAUGCGUAGAGAUCUGAAGGAAUACCGGUGGCGAAGGCGGCCCCCUGGACAGAUACUGACACUCAGAUGCGAAAGCGUGGGGAGCAAACAGG